GACGUAGGGUGCGAGCGUUGUCCGGAUUUACUGGGCGUAAAGAGCGUGUAGGCGGCCAAACAGGUCCGUUGUGAAAACUGGAGGCUCAACUUCCAGACGUCGACGGAAACCGUGUGGCUAGAGUCCGGAAGAGGAGAGUGGAAUUCCUGGUGUAGCGGUGAAAUGCGCAGAUAUCAGGAAGAACACCAAUGGCGAAGGCAGCUCUCUGGGACGGUACUGACGCUGAGACGCGAAAGCGUGGGGAGCGAACAGG
rnacentral:rRNA from 1 species